AGAUGUCCCCUACGGACACUCCGAUCAAUGUCCUCCUUCAAAUUAGCGAGCCACACUUUUAAGGCUCUGGAGAGAGUGGUCAGUGCCACUGCCGGAUGAAGGGCGGAUCCCAGGGCCAAAUAGGCUUUAAUCAGAUCUCCAUCCAUACGCUUUUCCAUAGGCUCCCUGAGAUAUGCCAUGGAGUCAAUAUGCAGCGUAGUUUUCUUUGCCAUAUGGAUCACCGCAACGUCAAUCUUAGGAACUGUAUUUAACAGGCAGCAGUCCACUGCAGAGUACGG